rnacentral:misc_RNA from 1 species
GCCCAAUUGAUCAUAAAUGGGGUGUCUGCAGAUGGCAACUCCAGCAAACCUGAUACUGGAUCAUUGUUUCAGAAGGCAAACUCCUUUUCACAGAAUGGAGAUGAAGACAAUAACCAAACCGUUGAAAAGUGUGGUUCUGAGGAUCAUCUUGAAGGUGCAAUAGAGAAGGAUGAUACAAAAACCUCAGUUGAGAGAAAAACUCAUCAGGCCCAAAUAUGGUCGGAGAUCAGACCAACUCUACAUGCCAUUGAGGAUAUGAUGAGCAUUCGUGUAAAAAAAAAGGUAAAUUUGGCCAAAAAUGAGCAAGACUGUGGUCUGCAGGAACAUCCUCUUGCAGUUGAAGAGUCUGGUGCCACAAAAGGAGAAUCUGAAGAGGACUCAGAAGACGAGUUUUAUGAUUUAGAAAGAUCAGAAUCUAUGGACAAAUUAGAUGUGGGUGCCAUGCAAGAUGUUUCUCUAAAUGAAAAUAUUAGUCAUUUGGCUACUAAAUGUCAAGAGUCUUUACCAUCUUGGAAAGAAGAACUGGAGUGUCUUGUUCGAGGUGGAGUACCCAUGGCUCUCAGGGGAGAGCUUUGGCAAGCCUUUGUGGGUGUGAAGGCACGCAGGGUGGAGACCUAUUACCAGGAUUUGCUUGCUUUAGGCACUAAACCUGGUAAUAAUGCAGAGGAUAAAAGCACUGUAUCAAAGGAUGGAAGUUGUGUGGACCCAAGCAUAGAUACUGCAUUUCUUCCUGAAAAUUGGAGAGGGCAAAUUGAGAAGGAUCUACCCAGAACAUUUCCUGGACAUCCAGCUCUAGACGAGGAUGGAAGAAAUGCUUUAAGGCGUUUACUUACUGCCUAUGCUCGGCAUAAUCCCUGUGUAGGCUACUGUCAGGCCAUGAAUUUUUUUGCUGGUCUGCUAUUGCUUCUAAUGCCCGAGGAAAAUGCAUUUUGGACUCUAGUGGGGAUUCUAGAUGAUUAUUUUGAUGGCUAUUACUCAGAAGAGAUGAUAGAGUGUCAGGUUGACCAACUUGUUCUUGAGGUAUUGGUGCGAGAGAAAUUUCCAAAAUUGGUUAAUCAUCUUGAUUACCUAGGAGUUCAGGUAGCAUGGGUUACAGGACCAUGGUUCCUCUCCAUAUUUAUGAACAUGCUUCCAUGGGAAAGU